rnacentral:tRNA from 1 species
GCCGGGGUCGCCUAGCCUGGUAGGGCGUCGGAUUGCUAAGCCAGUUUGCCUGGUUGCAAAGAUCCGAUGGGCCUUAGGCCCUCGUGGGUUCAAAUCCCACCCCCGGCG